rnacentral:rRNA from 1 species
GACGAACCGAGCGAACGUUGUUCGGAAUCACUGGGCUUAAAGGGCGCGUAGGCGGGCUGCCGCGUCCGGGGUGAAAUGCCACGGCUCAACCGUGGAACGGCCUCGGAUACGGGCGGUCUCGAGGGGGGUAGGGGCAUCUGGAACUGUGGGUGGAGCGGUGAAAUGCGUUGAGAUCCACAGGAACCCCGGUGGCGAAGGCGAGGUGCUGGACCCCAUCUGACGCUGAGGCGCGAAAGCCAGGGGAGCAAACGGG